rnacentral:lncRNA from 1 species
GAAGGUUAUCUACCUCAUGCUAUACAAUAGAUUUUGACAUCAUUCCUUUGGAGGACAUGGAAUGUAGGGUUAUCUGUUGGCUAAGCUGGCAUGUUUUGAGUGCAUGAGAGCCAAACUCCUAGGCUUGGCUUAUGUUUUAGGGCCAUGGGCUUGGAAAUUGAGGUGCAUCUAAUUUUCUUAACUCGGAGUUUUAAUAAAUCUUAGGCUUGGGUACUAUAGUUAUUUAGGACCUGUUUGCCAUUGCUUUUGGAGGGCCAAAAGCUCUUUUUGGCAAUUUUGAGGUGUUUGGUAAAAAUUUUGAAAUAGAUUUUUGGCUUGCCCAAAAGCUGAAAAAGGUCUACUAGCGAAAUGCUCCAAUUUGGAGCUUUUGGACAAAAGCUCUACUCAAGAUGCCUUGAGAAGCUUUUUUAUUUUCCCUAAAGUUCACUUGAGAGACUUGGGUUCAAGUCCCAGCAAUGGAUUUUUUUUAAAAAUUAAAUUAGAAUACCUUUUGUUACCAUAAUCAUUUAAGUUCAUGUCUUUUUUAUUGCCAUAAUCAUGAAAUUACGGAUUUUGGAUUUAACCUUAUGUUCAUGAGGAGGAUCUAGUCCCUCCUGAUUGUUUAAAUAUUGAUAAGCCGUAGGAAGAAAGAAGCGCAGAAGAAAGUCAGGCCUUGAAUAACUGCAAGAUGGAUGUUUUGUGUAAUCAUAUUGCAAUUCUUCUUAUAUGUUGUUGACUUAUUUAUUUAGGAUAUUAUGUUUGUAGCAUGGAUAUUAAAAAUGUUGGAGAAUAUUUAUGUUGUUAUUAUGAUUGUGGAUGUAUGAAACGGUUUUAUUGCUA